ensembl:lncRNA
GGGCUUGGUCGUAAGCUAAAAUGCACCAAGAAUGGGUGUCAAUACAUUUGUGUGAUGGUGGACUAUUUCACAAAGUGGCUUGAGGUAUACUCACUGAAAACCAAAGGAGCAGAAGAAAUCUCUGUGUAUAAUGGAUUUCUUCUAUAAAUAUGGCGCCCCAAAGCGUAUCCUCACCGACCGCGGAAAGGAAUUUGUGAACAAAGUAAGUUUAAUUUUAAGGCAAGUAAUAUUACUGUAUUUGUGGUCACGUUACCAAUGGAAGAAGCAUCAUUGUAUUCAAAAUAAGUUGUCCUCUUGUGCAUUUUAUAGAUGAAUACCGAGUGCCAGAAACUUGGCAUUGACCGAAGCCUCUGUGCUUCAUACCACCGGCAAACCAAUGGCUUGGUUGAAAAACUCAAUGGCACGCUUCAAGGGAGUUUUGAAGAAAAUGGUCCAGGAUCACCCCAGUGACUGGGACCAAUUCAUCAAGUCCACUGUGUUUGGUCUAAGGACGAAGAAACAACUGACCACAAAGUACUCCCCAUAUUUCCUUAUGUAUGGGAGGGAAGCUCGGUAUCCUUCCGAAAUGCCGGUCGAGUGGCAGUAAGAUAUUAGAGGACCGUAUCUGUGCGCUCACCAGGAAUGAAGAAGUUUUCAGCCACAUCACAGAUCAGAAGGAUGGGUUUGCUGAGGUUGCUGCAAAUCUGGCAAAAGGCCACGAACGGGUGCGCAAAAGAGUUGGCAAAGGGGGAUGAUGACGGCUAUGUUCUGGGGGACAAAGUAUUGCGGAAAAACAUAAGACCAAAGAAAAGGGGGCAAAAUGGAGGCAGACAUGAUGGGUCCAUAUACCAUAACCAACAUUGAUGGCAAAAGUGCUGAACUUAUGAGCAACAAAUAAAAGGAAAUCCUGAAAAUUAACAUCGACCAUCUCAAAAAAUAUGUGGAACCUGAAGAUUGUAUGCCAGGCAAAUGGAUGGCAGCGGCUUCUACUUCUCCACCUCUGCAGUCCAGCCCGUUGCAGUGUUUUGUUCCCCAAUCCCCUCUUGCUGACAAGCAAACAACCCCCCAACCGGUCUCCUUGACCUCCACUCUCCAGAGGAACGUAAGUACAGGUGUCAAUUCUUUGUAAUGACUUCAGUGACCUUACAUUUGUCUGGCAGUCUGU